AUCCCACCGUUUCUUAAGACUCUCUCUCUUUCUGUUUUCUAUUUCUCUCUCUCUCAAAUGAAAGAGAGAGAAGAGCUCCCAUGGAUGAAAUUAGCGAGACCGAAGUUUCUCCAAGGUGAUAUGUCUAUCUGUAUAUGUGAUACGAAGAGUUAGGGUUUUGUCAUUUCGAAGUCAAUUUUUGUUUGUUUGUCAAUAAUGAUAUCUGAAUGAUGAAGAACACGUAACUAAGAUAUGUUACUGAACUAUAUAAUACAUAUGUGUGUUUUUCUGUAUCUAUUUCUAUAUAUAUGUAGAUGUAGUGUAAGUCUGUUAUAUAGACAUUAUUCAUGUGUACAUGCAUUAUACCAACAUAAAUUUGUAUCAAUACUACUUUUGAUUUACGAUGAUGGAUGUUCUUAGAUAUCUUCAUACGUUUGUUUCCACAUGUAUUUACAACUACAUAUAUAUUUGGAAUCACAUAUAUACUUGAUUAUUAUAGUUGUAAAGAGUAACAAGUUCUUUUUUCAGGCAUUAAGGAAAACAUAACCUCCGUGAUGCAUAGAGAUUAUUGGAUCCGCUGUGCUGAGACAUUGAGUUUUUCUUCGGCAUUCCAGUUUCAAUGAUAAAGCGGUGUUAUCCUAUCUGAGCUUUUAGUCGGAUUUUUUCUUUUCAAUUAUUGUGUUUUAUCUAGAUGAUGCAUUUCAUUAUUCUCUUUUUCUUGACCUUGUAAGGCCUUUUCUUGACCUUGUAAGACCCCAUCUCUUUCUAAACGUUUUAUUAUUUUCUCGUUUUACAGAUUCUAUUCUAUCUCUUCUCAAUAUAGAAUAGAUAUCUAUCUCUACCUCUAAUUCGUUCGAGUCAUUUUCUCCUACCUUGUCUAUCCCUCCUGAGCUAAUCUCCACAUAUAUCUUUUGUUUGUUAUUGAUGUAUGGUUGACAUAAAUUCAAUAAAGAAGUUGACGUUUUUCU